rnacentral:hammerhead_ribozyme from 1 species
AUUCAGCUGACGAGUCCCAAAUAGGACGAAUUGGAGCGCAUCCAGGAU